CAGGUGCUGUGAAUGAGUGCAGGUUAGGCUGCAGGUAGGCAGAGCCCUGGCGGGGUUGGGAGAGGCUUCGGAGACAGAGGCCGAGAGCAGCUAUGUAAGGAUUGAGACUGCCCCUGCAGGAAAGGAUCGCAAGAAUGUAAAAUCAGCAUGGAAGGAAGCGGCGUCUUCUGGGAGCCAUUUGGACGGAAGAAGCUGUAUGGAGGACUAACCUGUGACCUGACCUGACCUCUCUCUUUACCGGAGCGUCAGUGUGGGACACCAGCCCCUCGGAAAAAUAUCCGCAAACUUUGUAAAACCAGGUGACUCAACAGAAACAAAUGAAGUGGAAAACAUGAAGUGACAUGUCCUGGCCAUCUUACUGCCUCAUCUUUCAGAAACCCUCACCUCCCCCACAAUCUGGCGAAGGUCGAAUCUGAUGAUGGAUGCUCUGGGACGCCUCGUGCAUCGGCCACAUUACGUGGCGUUGCAAGACCGAACAAUAAAGCAGCCUGCCUUGGGAACCACGGCAACCCAACAGUGUCAUAGCAAUGAGGCAACGGCAGAUGAUUGACUCUCACGAAAGAGACUGCUGCAGCAGUGAGCUCUCUCGAGCAGCGUAGAAGAGUGCCAGGGAUUAGAGAAAGGAGGAACCCUUUCCGCUGAUAUGGAUGCAUCUCCCUCCGAUGAGAAGCUGGGGGGUCCAGCGCGGUGGCAGAGGUGGAGACAGCAGAGAUUACGGGAUCGGUGCAGCAGCUCUCACUGGAGAUCCAGGGGGGUCCAGAAGAUCCUGAUGUUAAGGCAAAAACCAAGGUGCAGAGAUGUCAGGAAUCUGAUUUCCAAAACAACUUGGGAGCCAGGUCUCCGAGGCAUUCAGGAGCAGGAAUCUGGUUCUGAGAGGUGGUCUGCUUUGGGGAAUCUGUGUGCACGCCAGGGGCUGCAUGCCACCCAGUCUAGCCUUAGGAAGAAAUUAAUUUUCAUCAAUACAAUCCAAAUGAUUCACCCUAACUUGUGGAAACGCUGUGCUGGAGAAGAAAGAGCUCCCAGUCUCCUCCAUGACUCACUGUGUUCUUGGAUGCAGCCCAUCACAAUGUAUCAGCAAAUCAUGUUAUAUGUGAGAAGGGAAGAGGACGCAGCUGGCGAAGUGCAGGAAACAUCGGAGAUCAUGGCCUGUACUGGUGCAGCCAGCUUGGAGAGAAGGAUGAGAGUCUAUCAAAGAUAAUGCCGUGUGAUGCGAAUGCACCUAUUUCUAGUGAGUCUCGGUGCUUCGAAGCUGGGGACCGCGGUUCUUAUUUUCCCACUGGGUACCCGUGACGGAGAGAGGGAUCACCAGCUGGCCUGCUGCCUUGUGAAGGAUGAAUCCCCCGGGCUCCCCUGAGGCCUCUUUGCUGACUCUUCCUCUCUAUCUCCUCAUUUGCUGGCCGCUUCUGCUAACAAACAAACACGGUCUCCUUGCCAAGUUUGCGGGAGAAAUGCUCCCCCGUCCUGAUUUCAUCACUGCAGUGCUCCGGCAGAUGAAUAAAAGGAAGACGAGCAACAUGUUGCUCACAAUGGACAACCAACCUUGCAACGCCCGGAGGCACCUCCCACCAUGCCGGGCCUGACUGAGUUUGGCCCAUGAGGCAGGAAUUUCUCAGUCUUUCAAGCUUGUUAAGUCUCUCGGAGUGAGUAAAUAAUGGAGAAGGUUUGGAGGAAGUAGUUAUCUACUCUCCUCUUCUGCGUCUCAAAGGAGAGUUUGGUGGAUGAGACUGCUGACACUAUAACCAAGGAGUUAAGAAGGACAACGGCUUUGCCUCUGACACAUGCUGUAGGAACACAGCAAUUCCUGCUGCUUUAAUUGAUCUGUCUUGAAGUGUGGCUCGUCCUGCACGUAGCUUGCUUCCUUCCUUCCUUCCUUGUCAUUUUUUGGUUGCUCAUCCAUAGUAAAACAUGCUGACCUGUUACGGGGAGGCAAAACACAAUGCUUAGGCGUUACGCCUGAUGGAUUCAAAGUCCUUGUCUUGCUCAUGCCUGGCGUCGUCCCAGGUUUAGAACUUGGUCACCUCAGAAAUGUCUGGCUCCAAACCCAAAGUCACUUGGAUAAAAAGAGUUUUAAACUCACGCCUUCUCUAGUUUAUUCAGCUUAUUGCAUGACUGCGUCUUCGACAAAUGUUAGAACCGCUCACAUCUGCUAUGGGAGGGACCCAAAGUCCGUAAGAAUAACUCCCAGUGAACCCAAAGGGGUUUAGAUGAAAUCCUGUGGGUCAUGCUGGAAUACCAAACACCAGGAAUGGAAAAAUAACUUGGUGUCAGUUUGUAAUAGGAUCCUUUCCACUGACUUCAAUGAGAAUUAGAUGAGUGUCUUGGAAAACCUAUGGCAGAGAUAUGCAGAAUAUAUGUUGUCAUUACCUAUAGAGUUGCUUAGAAAAUAUCCAUUUAAAUUACAUUUCAAUUAAAAAUA